GUGCUCGCUUCGGCUGCACAUAUACUAAAAUUGGAACGAUACAGAGAAGAUUAACAGGGUCUUUCCCACAGCAAAUGUUCUUAAUUUUGAUGAGGUCCAAUUUAUC
ensembl:snRNA U6 U6 spliceosomal RNA